GACGAACGCUGGCGGCGUGCUUAACACAUGCAAGUCGAGCGGAGCGGCGAACGGGUGAGUAACGCGUGAGUAACUGCCCCCCUCUCUGUGAUAACAGUUGGAAACGGCUGCUACUACCGGAUAGUGGGGGAUGACUCGCGUCCUAUCCGCUUGUUGGUGGGGUAGUGGCCUACCAAGGCGACGACGGGUAGCCGGCCUGGGAGGGCGACCGGCCGCAUAGGGCUGAGAUACGGCCCAAGCUCCUACGGGAGGCAGCAGUGGGGAAGAUUGCACAAGGGGGGAAACCCUGAUGCAGCAACGCCGCGGGCGGGAAGACGGCCUUAGGGUUGUAAACCGCUUUCAGCCAAGAAGAGGUAGUGGCAGAAGAAGCAACGGCUAACUACGUGCCAGCAGCCGCGGUAAUAC
rnacentral:rRNA from 1 species